rnacentral:lncRNA from 1 species
CAGCAUAAGCGAUGUACCAAACUAAAACUUGGUACUGUGUUAAAUGGUAGCAGUAGACAUCAAGGACUUCCUUAAUGGCGUUGAAAUUCAAGAGGCGAGAGCUCCAAGUAGCGUUCCUAAGCAUCGUCCAUAGAUCAUGUGGCGCUUUUAUGACUGAGGAAAUGACAGUCCUUUGGCCGAAGCAUUCUGGAAUUGCAGAUUCUGAGUAACAAUAAGAUAUCCGAGCUGAAGAAUGGCUCAUUUUCUGGGUUAAGUCUCCUUGAAAGAUUGGACCUCCGAAACAAUCUUAUUAGUAGUAUAGAUCCAGGUGCCUUCUGGGGACUGUCAUCUCUAAAAAGAUUGGAUCUGACAAACAAUCGAAUAGGAUGUCUGAAUGCAGACAUAUUUCGAGGACUCACCAAUCUGGUUCGGCUAAACCUUUCGGGGAAUUUGUUUUCUUCAUUAUCUCAAGGAACUUUUGAUUAUCUUGCGUCAUUACGGUCUUU